UACGUAGGGUGCAAGCGUUAAUCGGAAUUACUGGGCGUAAAGGGCGCGUAGGCGGCACGGCAAGUCAGGAGUGAAAGCCCUGGGCUCAACCCGGGAACUGCUUUUGAAACUGCCGAGCUAGAGUGCGGAAGGGGCAACUGGAAUUCCCAGUGUAGCGGUGAAAUGCGUAGAUAUUGGGAAGAACACCUGAGGCGAAGGCGGGUUGCUGGGCCGACACUGACGCUGAUGCGCGAAAGCGUGGGGAGCAAACAGG
rnacentral:rRNA from 1 species